rnacentral:misc_RNA from 1 species
UCGCGAUUCGUGUUCCAUGGCCGUAGGCUGUAGCAGAAUAACAUCAUCGGCCAUUAUUGUGAAUCGUGAAUUGGGACUGUCUUGCAAGAAUCUUCAGAGUUACAGUAGCAGUUCGUGUUUAUUGAGGUUUUAAUAUAAGACGAAAUAUGCACACGAUUACGGAACUUGGUGCCAGCGUUCCAGCGUUUCUAGGCAAGUUAUGGAAACUUGUCGAGGAUCCAGAAACCGACGACCUUAUUUGCUGGGCACCCAGUGGAACAAGUUUUUUUAUCCGCAACCAGGCACAGUUUGCUCGAGAGUUACUGCCUCAUUAUUACAAGCAUAACAACAUGGCAAGUUUUGUCCGGCAGCUUAACAUGUAUGGAUUUCACAAGAAAGUAUCCGUUGAAUUAGGAGGGUUGAAGUGUGACAAGGAUGAAAUGGAAUUUGCACAUCAGUAUUUCUGUAAAGGACAUCCUUGCCUCUUGGAGCAUAUCAAACGAAAAAUAGCGUCCAGCAAAAGUCAAGAUACGGCGCAACCCAUAAUAAAACCAGAACUUAUGAACAAAAUGUUGACGGAAGUAAGAAGCAUGCGUGGUCGACAGGAACACCUCGACUCUAGGUUGGGCACGAUGAAACGAGAGAAUGAAGCUCUGUGGAGAGAGCUGGCAAUGCUCAGGCAGAAGCACAUCAAGCAGCAACAGAUUGUCAACAAACUGAUCCACUUCUUGGUCACACUUGUUCAACCAUCGAGGAACGGAGGAGCAGGAGGUCUUUCCGUCAAAAGGCGAUAUCCUCUGAUGAUCGAUGAUCCCAAUCGUCAGAGAGCCAAACAAAGCAAAAUGUCAAAUGUUAAGGUCAACACAUCGCCUACAGGUCCAGUUAUACACGAGCUAGAUCCAACCGAACAAGAGUUAGAGCCAGAAUAUAUUGUUGCAGAAAUUUUAGAGCAUGGCGCCAGCCCUUCAGUCCAAAGUCCCGACCCCCGUGGCGCAUCUUCUCCAAAUGAAGACAAUAUACAGUUCACUACGUCCCCCAGUCCCAUCCACAGAACGGAAGAUGUGCAUUUGAAUAGCGAUCAACAAGAUGUUGGUUGCAAAAAGAAUCGCGGCAGUAAAGGGAAGAAGCCAAAUGACUGCGUUUUGAACGCUGCCAGGAGGAAAAACAAGGUGCCCGUCAAAAUUCUGAUUCCGCCGCUGGAACAGGGCGAAAAUACCAGGGAAGAAACGCUGUAUCUUGAAGUGCCUGCGACGACUUCCAGUAGUCCUCCGCCUGAGAAAACUUUACCAGUCGAAAUUAAGAGGAACAUGAAACCCGUUCCAUUGGCUGUAGUUCGGAGUUCUAAACUAGCCGCAAUGGCUGCAAAUAUGAAGUCCUCAACCGAUUUUGACCUUGACUUGGAUAUCGACAGCGUUGGCAGUGCAGAAGAUGACCGAAUCGUGGAUGAUGUAUCACCUACAGAAAAAUUACAGAAACUGGACGAGAUACUGCUGAUUCCUGAUACAAUUGAGAACAAUAACGAAGAUGUUAGUGAUGAUGAAGCUUAUAAAGAUUUACCGAGUCAGGAAAGAUCCACUGGUAAUGAAGCUGACAACUGGAUCAAGAAUGGAGAAGUCAUCACAAAUAACAACGGAGAAGGAAGUAGCGCAGCGUCUAGCGAUUUAUCAUUGAGUUGUUUAAAUGAUCCAAUUAGGUUAGGACCUACGGACGAAGUGGACAACCACGUGGAAACUGUACAGUCUGAGUUGGAUAACUUGAGAGAAUUGCUGCGAGGCGAGGGUUACAGCAUUGACGCCAAUGCUCUAUUGGGAUUAUUUGGUGCCGAUGAUCCGAUGUCGUUUGGGAUCCCAAUGAAUCCAGAACUUGACCCACAUGCGCAGAUGCAUAGAGAAAGAGAAGGAGAUGAUAUGGAGCUUAACGGAGGCGGAGAACUCAUGACAUACAAUCCUCCUCAAAAUUUCCUUGAUUUUGAUAAUGAUAUAUUUUUGGGAGCAACCUCUUCGCUAUCAUCCCCACUGAAUAAUUCGACAAACAAUUAUCAAGAUUCUUACGACUUUGAAGACAGUAAGGCAUCACUUUUAGAGUCGUUGAAUGCUGUUAACGACAACCUAGAAUCCUCUUAAGUCUUCUUCUGCGAAUUGGAGGAAAGACUAAGGGUAUCGUAAUUGGGUAAUUCAUUAAAUUACCAAUUGAUUUUGUUAUUAAAAUAUAAUAAUAAUAAUAAUAAUAAUAAUAAUAACAACAACAACAGCAAAAACAACAACAAUAAUAACAACAACAACAAUAAUAAUAAUAAUGCAAAAUUUAUUAUCUCUAUCAAUUAAUUGGUAACUUAAGCAUGUUUAUUAAUCAAAAGGAGGCGAAAAUAGCGAAGUAUUGAAUGUAAAUUUGUAUCUAGAAUAAACGCUUAGAAGCACGGGGUUGAAUAUGUGAGACAUUCGGUCAGAGUUCGAAGGUUUCUAUACAUGACACUAAAAAAGAUUUCUGCACUCGCAUUACGGGUUUCUGGCUAGUAUACCUAUACUUUUGUUGAACCAAAUUGCUUGAAAAUAAUUUACUUUUACGAGUAACACAAACUUUACGUAUCCUGAAUCAACGAGUCGAUCACAAAUUUGCUAACAAUAAUGCGAGUAUGUUUCGUCAGACAACAGAUAGGAAUAUCUUUUUCCCCCCUUUAUUUCUAAUCAAUUUAUCAAU